rnacentral:rRNA from 1 species
AAGCGACUCUCGGCAACGGAUAUCUSGGCUCUCGCAUMGAUGAAGAACGUAGCGAAAUGCGAUACUUGGUGUGAAUUGCAGAAUCCCGUGAACCAUCGAGUCUUUGAACGCAAGUUGCGCCCGAAGCCAUUAGGCCGAGGGCACGUCUGCCUGGGCGUCACGC